rnacentral:misc_RNA from 1 species
GGGAGAAGUAGUGAAUGGGAGCAUCACAUUUUCAAAUGGAGUUAGCAAAUUUAGCAAAGUGCUUAUUAUUGGGUUUUAUGAUCCUGUGGAUUCAAAUCCAUAGAAGCAAAGGUUGCUUUGAAGCUGAGAGAUUGGCACUCUUAAAUUUUAAGAAAUUUGUUGUAUCAGAUGGAGCUGAUGCUGAUCAUCUUCUUUCUUCUUGGGUUGAUGAUUCAAUGAGUGACUGUUGUAAAUGGGAGCGUGUCACGUGUAAUUCUACUACAAGUCACGUGAUUGAGCUCUUCCUCAACAAUACACGACAACUUGACAUAGAUAGUGAAUCAUUUCAUGAUUAUGAAAAUAUUUGGUUUAUAAAGUUGUCAAUGUUCCAGCAGUUGAAAGAGCUCAGAAAUCUUAAUUUAUCCUACAAUGAAAUUGGUGGUUUUAUUGAUUAUGAUGAAGGUUUUGAAAGAUUAUCAGAAUUAAAGAAGCUAGAAACCUUGGACCUUAGUUAUAAUCAUUUCAAUGAUAGCAUCUUACCAUCAUUGGGUGCUCUUACGUCACUCAAGUCUUUGAUUCUUAGU